rnacentral:rRNA from 1 species
UACAGAGGGUGCAAGCGUUGUUCGGAAUCAUUGGGCGUAAAGGGCGUGUAGGCGGUAUGUUAAGUCAUGCGUGAAAUCCCUCGGCUCAACCGGGGAACGACGCAUGAAACUGGCAAGCUAGAGUACCAAGGAGGGUGGUGGAAUUCCCGGUGUAGCGGUGAAAUGCGCAGAUAUCGGGAAGAACACCCGUGGCGAAGGCGGCUCUCUGGGACGGUACUGACGCUGAGACGCGAAAGCGUGGGGAGCGAACAGG